rnacentral:lncRNA from 1 species
UCGGCAACCCGCUGCAUCUUGGCUCGCGUGAAACACACCGUACUUGGCUGCCUUGUCCAUUCUUUCCACUGUUGGUCGCUGUUAACACAAAAGGUGAGCACGAAUUUCCAGCAAAUCAAUUUCUGAUUUUAAGUGAAUUAAUACGUAUAAGCAUAAAUGCAUAAAUGUAGUUUCUGAUUUGUAGUGUUUUUUAUUUGCGGAUUUUAAUGGUUGUGUACUUGAAUUUUGCGGGUUUUAUGAUGAUGUUGUAUUUUAUUCAUGUUAAAUUGGUAAUUGUUGAUUAUAAUUGAAUUUUAUUUGAAUUUAUUAGUUAAAUUGUUGAAUUUUUAAAUUAUUUUUUAAAUUAUUUAACUUAAUUUAGUGGAUCCGGACAGCUAUUAAAACCUCA